GACGAACGCUGGCGGCGUGCCUAAUACAUGCAAGUCGAGCGAACGGACGCGAAGCUUGCUUCUCUGAUGUUAGCGGCGGACGGGUGUGUAACACGUGGAUAACCUACCUAUCAGACUGGGAUAACUUCGGGACACCGGCGCUAAUACCGGAUAAUAUUCUGAUCCGCAUGGUUCAAAAGUGAAAGACGGUCUUGCUGUCACUUCUCGAUGGAUCCGCGCUGCAUUAGCUAGUUGGUAAGGUAACGGCUUACCAAGGCAACGAUGCAUAGCCGACCUGAGAGGGUGAUCGGCCACACUGGAACGGAGACACGGUCCAGACUCCUACGGGAGGCAGCAGUAGGGAAUCUGCCGCAAUGGGCGAAAGCCUGACGGAGCAGCGCCGCGUGAGUGAUGAAGGUCUUCGGAUCGUAAAACUCUGUUAUUAGGGAAGAACAUAUGUGUAAGUAACUGUGCACAUCUUGACGGUACCUAGUCAGAAAGCCACGGCUAACUACGUG
rnacentral:rRNA from 1 species